GACGAACGCUGGCGGCGUGCUUAACACAUGCAAGUCGAACGGAAAGGCCCUGCUUUUGUGGGGUGCUCGAGUGGCGAACGGGUGAGUAACACGUGGGUAACCUGCCCUUGACUUUGGGAUAACUUCAGGAAACUGGGGCUAAUACCGGAUAGGAGCUCCUGCUGCAUGGUGGGGGUUGGAAAGUUUCGGCGGUUGGGGAUGGACUCGCGGCUUAUCAGCUUGUUGGUGGGGUAGUGGCUUACCAAGGCUUUGACGGGUAGCCGGCCUGAGAGGGUGACCGGGCACAUGGGGACUGAGAUACGGCCCAGACUCCUACGGGGGGCAGCAGUGGGGAAUAUGGCACAAUGGGCGGAAGCGUGAUGCGGCAACGCCGCGGGCGGGAUGACGGCCUUCGGGUUGUGAACCGCUUUCGCCUGUGACGAAGCGGGAGUGACGGUAAUGGGUAAAGAAGCACCGGCUAACUACGUG
rnacentral:rRNA from 1 species